rnacentral:rRNA from 1 species
UGCGCAGGCGGCUUAUUAAGUCAGUGGUGAAAUCUCUCGGCUCAACCGAGAAACUGCCAUUGAAACUGAUAAGCUUGAGUGUAGUUGUAGUAGGCGGAAUAUAGCAUGUAGCGGUGAAAUGCUUAGAUAUGCUAUAGAACACCGAUCGCGAAGGCAGCUUACUAAACUAUCACUGACGCUCAUGCACGAAAGCGUGGGGAGCGAACAGGAUUAGAUACCCUGGUAGUCC